GUUUAACGGCCGCGGUACUCUGACCGUGCAAAGGUAGCGUAAUCACUUGUCUUUUAAAUAAGGACUAGUAUGAAUGGCAUCACGAGGACUUAGCUGUCUCCCUAACCCAAUCAGUGAAACUGAUCCCCCUGUGAAAAAGCAGGGAUAAACACAUAAGACGAGAAGACCCUAUGGAGCUUUAAACCAAAAACUACCUGUUUAAUCUAUUAUACUAAAAAAUAUUACUAAAAUGACUGAUCUAGUUUAAGUUUUCAGUUGGGGUGACUGUGGAGAAAAAUAAAUCCUCCACGCAGAUUUAAGCUUUGAGCAACCGCUCUGCGCAUUAGCAAGUCUAACUACACUUGAUCCAAUAUUUUUGAUCAACGGACCAAGUUACCCUAGGGAUAACAGCGCAAUCCAUUUUAAGAGUCCAUAUCGACAAAUGGGUUUACGACCUCGAUGUUGGAUUAGGACACCCAAGUGGUGCAGCCGCUACUUAAGGUUCGUUUGUUCAACGAUUAAAGUCCUACGUG
rnacentral:rRNA from 1 species